rnacentral:rRNA from 1 species
GUGUCAGCCGCCGCGGUAAGACGAAGGGGGCUAGCGUUGUUCGGAAUUACUGGGCGUAAAGCGCGUGUAGGCGGUUGUUCAAGUCGGGUGUGAAAGCCUUGAGCUCAACUCAAGAAAUGCACUCGGUACUGGAUGACUAGAGGACCGGAGAGGAUAGUGGAAUUCCCAGUGUAGUGGUGAAAUACGUAGAGAUUGGGAAGAACACCAGUGGCGAAGGCGGCUAUCUGGACGGUUUCUGACGCUAAGACGCGAAAGCGUGGGGAGCAAACAGGAUUAGAUACCCUGGUAGUCCACGCCGUAAACGAUGGGUGCUAGACGUUGGCGGGCUUGCUCGUCAGUGUCGCAGCUAACGCGUUAAGCACCCCGCCUGGGGAGUACGGUCGCAAGAUUGAAACUUAAAUGAAUUGGCGGGG